AUAUUCACUUCAGUAGCACAUAUACUAAAACUGAAACAGUACAGAGAAAAUUAGCAUGGCCCCUGCAUAAGAAUGCAGCAAAUUUGUGAAGCAUUUCAUAUUUCU
ensembl:snRNA U6 U6 spliceosomal RNA